rnacentral:rRNA from 1 species
AUUGAACGCUGGCGGCAGGCCUAACACAUGCAAGUCGAACGAGUGGCGGACGGGUGAGUAAUGUCUGGGAAACUGCCCGAUGGAGGGGGAUAACUACUGGAAACGGUAGCUAAUACCGCAUACAAUCGGAUGUGCCCAGAUGGGAUUAGCUUCUAGGUGAGGAAACGGCUCACCUAGGCGAAGAUCCCUAGCGGGUCUUAGAGGAUGACCAGCCACCCUGGAACUGAUACACGGUCCCUACUCCGACGGGAGGCAGCAGUGGGGAAUAUUUCACAAUGGGCGCAAUCCUGAUGCAGCCAUGCCGCGUGUAUGAAGAAGGCCUUCGGGUUGUAAAGUACUUUCAGCGGGGAGGCGUUACCCGCAGAAGAAGCACCGGCUAACUCCGUGCCAGCAGCCGCGGUAAUUC